rnacentral:rRNA from 1 species
AGUCAUAUGCUUGUCUCAAAGAUUAAGCCAUGCAUGUCUCAGUCCAAACUAAAAUAAAGUGAAACCGCGAAAGGCUCAUUAAAUCAGUUAUGGUUCCUUAGAUCGUACCCACAUUUACUUGGAUAACUGUGGUAAUUCUAGAGCUAAUACAUGCAUAUAGGGCCCAUCCUGUAAGGGGUGGCGUGCUUUUAUUAGAUCAAAACCAAUCGGUGUCGGCUUUGCCUUCAUCGUUGACUUUGGUGGCUCUGAAUAACUUUUUGCUGAUCGCACGGUCUUGCACCGGCGACGAAUCUUUCAAAUGUCUGCCUUAUCAACUGUCGAUGGUAGGUUCUGCGCCUACCAUGGUUGUAACGGGUAACGGGGAAUCAGGGUUCGAUUCCGGAGAGGGAGCCUGAGAAACGGCUACCACAUCCAAGGAAGGCAGCAGGCGCGCAAAUUACCCACUCCCGGCACGGGGAGGUAGUGACGAAAAAUAACGAUACGGGACUCAUCCGAGGCCCCGUAAUCGGAAUGAGUACAGUUUAAAUCCUUUAACGAGGAUCUAUUGGAGGGAAAGCCUGGUGCCAGCAGCCGCGGUAACUCCAGCUCCAAUAGCAUAU